rnacentral:rRNA from 1 species
GAUGAACGCUAGCUACAGGCUUAACACAUGCAAGUCGCGGGGCAGCAUGGGGGUUCCUUGCAAUCCCCGAUGGCGACCGGCGCACGGGUGAGUAACGCGUAUCCAACCUGCCCUUCACCACGGGAUAACCCGGCGAAAGUCGGACUAAUACCGUAUGUUGUCCAUUGACGGCAUCCGAUUUGGACGAAGGGUUUGGCGGUGAAGGAUGGGGAUGCGUCCGAUUAGCUGGACGGCGGGGUGACGGGCCAACGUGGCGACGAUCGGGAGGGGAUCUGAGAGGGAGGUCCCCCACACUGGAACUGAGACACGGUCCAGACUCCUACGGGAGGCAGCAGUGAGGAAUAUUGGUCAAUGGGCGUAAGCCUGAACCAGCCAAGUAGCGUGCAGGAUGACGGCGCUAUGGGCUGUAAACUGCUUUUAUGCGGGGAUAAAGUGGCCCACGUGUGGGUUUUUGCAGGUACCGCAUGAAUAAGGACCGGCUAAUUCCGUG